rnacentral:rRNA from 1 species
CGGAGGGUGCAAGCGUUAUCCGGAUUUACUGGGUUUAAAGGGUGUGUAGGCGGGCUUUUAAGUCAGCGGUGAAAUCUCCGGGCUCAACCCGGAAACUGCCAUUGAUACUAUUAGUCUUGAAUUCUGUUGAGGUAGGCGGAAUAAGUCAUGUAGCGGUGAAAUGCAUAGAUAUGACUUAGAACACCAAUUGCGAAGGCAGCUUGCUAAACAGAUAUUGACGCUGAGGCACGAAAGCGUGGGGAUCAAACAGGAUUAGAUACCCUGGUAGUCCACGCCCUAAACGAUGAUUACUCGACAUACGCGAGACACAGUGUGUGUCUGAGCGAAAGCAUUAAGUAAUCCACCUGGGAAGUACGACCGCAAGGUUG